GACGAACGCUGGCGGCGUGCUUAACACAUGCAAGUCGAACGGUGAAGCGCCUUCCUUUUUGGUGGGUGUGGUUGAGUGGCGAACGGGUGAGUAACACGUGAGUAACCUGCCCCCUUCUUCUGGAUAACCGCAUGAAAGUGUGGCUAAUACGGGAUAUUCUGGGUCUGUCGCAUGAUGGGUCUGGGAAAGAUAUUGUUUCGGUGGGGGAUGGGCUCGCGGCCUAUCAGCUUGUUGGUGGGGUGAUGGCCUACCAAGGCGGUGACGGGUAGCCGGCCUGAGAGGGUGGACGGUCACACUGGGACUGAGACACGGCCCAGACUCCUACGGGAGGCAGCAGUGGGGAAUAUUGCACAAUGGGCGCAAGCCUGAUGCAGCGACGCCGCGUGAGGGAUGGAGGCCUUCGGGUUGUGAACCUCUUUCGCCAGUGAAGCAGGCCUGCCUCGUUUGUGGGUGGGUUGACGGUAGCUGGAGAAGAAGCGCCGGCUAACUACGUG
rnacentral:rRNA from 1 species